rnacentral:lncRNA from 1 species
AUGUGGGAUAUUAAAUGUCCUUUCAUCUCACUUCCUCUCACCUGCUGCCCUCCCUCUUCAGUCCUGGUGAUUCCCAGCCCCCCUUCAUUCCUCUCCCACCUCCUCCCUUUGUCAGUGUCCUGUCCUGCAUCCAAAAGUCCUCAUUCUGUCUGGUCCACACCUGAGAAUACAGACUAUCAAGAGGCUAUGGCUGGUUACCCCCCCCACCAACCUGCAAUGCACCUAUGACUUCAUACAGCACUUCUGGAUCCUGUCUACUUCUGUAAGGGCUGAGAAUGCAUGAUUGCCCAUGAUCACUCCCCCUACAUUACUCACAAGACAAACAGACCUGAGAACAACACUCACAAGACAAACAGACCUGAGAACAACAUUGUGCCGCUUAUUGGAUUAAAUAGAUUUAUUAAAGGCAUAAACAAGGAUUUGAGAUAAUUGAGCUCUCAUGGACUGAUCUCCACCCGGGUCGUGAAUAUCUCAUCAUGACAACAGUGAGUAAGCAUUGACCUCUGACCUUUUUUAUUUGUCAAAAGUUAAAAGAUGAUUCAUUUUCAGUCAUUAUAUUCUGGCAUAUACUGUGACAUCCAGGGGUUACGCAGAUUGCAAUGCAGCAAAUAAUUGCAUUUGCCACUAAUUUUGGUUGUGCAUCUUAAGUUGACAUAACAAUCCUAUACCAAGUGAUCAAAGAACACCUUUAUACCUUUCAUCACAUAUAUGGUAGUGGGUUUGUUUGCAGUGUUUGGGGACUGAGUGAUGGUAAGUGUCCUGUUUGACAUGGGGCUCUUUUACACCUAUCCCUCUGAGCUAACAAGCCUCCGGAGGAAGAUUCCCUCUAAUUAGGGUCAAACAUAACACUCUGCCUGCUGUCUCUAUCUGACCCUCAGGGUCUAUACGGUUUGCCUUUGUUCACAUCACAGGCAAAUGUAUAGGACAAGACAAGAAAGGGAUAAAUCCAUUAUAGUGCACAGGCAAUAUUUGGGAUUUUUGGCAGUUCUAACUCCAGAUACAUUGCUUAAAGUUAAACCCAAAUUGCUAAUAUGAAAGGAUCAGUUAUGUAUUUUUUGGAAUUAUAUGACGUAAAACAGCUAAGUACUGGUCUGGUGCAGCUGUAAAUAACUGUGAGAACAGUAAGUUACUGUGGAAGAAAAAUCAACAACCACUUCAGUGGAAGUCAGCGUUAUUUCUGCCACUCUUCUCCAUUGCGGUGGCUGUUAUGAUAUAAGGGCACUGAGUGAAGCGGCUCUUUCUUUCAUGAAAGGGGGACCAGGAGGCAACUGAAUGAAUGAAAGGGGGGGAUUGUUCCCUAGUCUGGCUGCCACUGAGUACCUGCCAAACUCAUUCUAGCCUUUAAUUAAAGUCAUUAACCUGAGAAAAUGAGUAAAAAGUGAGAAAGACAAAGAGAGAGUGACUGAGAGAGAGUUUAUAUAUAUAUAUAUAAUUUUUCCCUCCCAAAUUCUCUUUACUUUAAUG